rnacentral:rRNA from 1 species
GACAGAGGGUGCAACCGUUGCUCGGAAUCACUGGGCGUAAAGGGCGUGUAGGCGGGAAUGUAAGUCGGGCGUGAAAGCCCCAGGCUCAACCUGGGAACUGCACUCGAAACUGCGUUUCUUGAGUAUCGGAGAGGAAGGCGGAAUACCUGGUGUAGAGGUGAAAUUCGUAGAUAUCAGGUGGAACACCAGUGGCGAAGGCGGCUUUCUGGACGAUUACUGACGCUGAGACGCGAAAGCGUGGGGGGCAAACAGG